rnacentral:rRNA from 1 species
GGGGGAAAAUUAAUUAUGAAGUAAUAAAAAAAAUAAUUUUAAUAUUAAAAUAUUUAAUGGGGGUUAAAGUAUUUUAAGAAAAAAAAUUAUAAAUUUUAUAGGGAAUUAGUAUUGUGAAAGAAUUUUGAAAUAUUUUAAAUAUUAAAUUAUUUGAAAAGUAAUUUUAGUUUAUUGUAUCUUGUGUAUCAGAGUUUAUUAAUUUAUUUUUAUGUGUAAGAUUUCUCGAAUUUAAAAGAGAUAAUUGAUUAUUAAAGUUAUUGUUGCAAAAAUAUUUUAAAUAAUUAAUUUGAAAUGAAAUGUUAAUCGUUUUUAAAUAUAUCUAGUUUUUCUAGAAAAAAAUUUAAUUUUAAAUUUUUUUAAGAAAUUAAUAAUUGAUAAUUAAUUUUUAGUAAAAGUUUUAUAUUUUAGGGGAUAAGCUUUAAAUUAAAAUUAUAUAAUUAUAUUAAUUUUAAAUUUGAAAAUUUUAUAAUUUAUAUUGUUAAUAAAUUUUAUUUUAUUAUAAAUAAUUUCAUUUAAUUAUAAAAUUUAAUAAAAAUUUAUUUUUUUAUAGAAAAGUAAUUUAAAUUUUUUUAAAAUUAAUUAUAAUGAUAAAAUUAGUAUAUAAUUAAUUAUUUAUAAUUUAUUUUUUAUUAGGAAAAUUAAAUAAAAGGAAUUCGGCAAAAAUUUAUAUUCACUUGUUUAUCAAAAACAUGUCUUUUUGUUUAUAAUUUAAAGUCUAAUCUGCCCACUGAUUUAAAAAUUGAAGGGCUGCAGUAUUUUGACUGUACAAAGGUAGCAUAAUCAUUAGUCAUUUAAUUGAUGACUUGUAUGAAGGAUUGGAUGAAAUAUAAUCUGUCUUUUUUUUAAUUUAUAGAAUUUAAUUUUUUAAUCAAAAAGUUAAAAUAUUAUAAAAAGACGAGAAGACCCUAUAGAGUUUUAUAUAAAAAUUAAUUGAGGUUAUUUAUAAUUUUAAAAUUUAAAUUAUUUUUUAAUAUUUUGUUGGGGUGACAAAAAAAUAAAUUUAACUUUUUUUAAUAUUUUACAUAAAUAAGUGAAUAAUUGAUCCAAUUAUUUUGAUUAUAAGAAAAAAUUACCUUAGGGAUAACAGCGUAAUUUUUUUUUUUAGUUCGAAUAAAAAAAAAAGUUUGCGACCUCGAUGUUGGAUUAAGAUAAAAUUUAAAUGUAGAAGUUUAAAAUUUUGAUCUGUUCGAUCAUUAAAAUCUUACAUGAUCUGAGUUCAGACCGGUGUAAGCCAGGUUGGUUUCUAUCUUUUAUAAAAUAAAAUGUUUUAGUACGAAAGGAAUAAAUAUUUAAAUUAAAUUUUGUUAAGGAAUAUUAUUAAUUAAAUAUAAUAGAUAUAGUUUUUAUAAA